CAGUUUAAUUAAAAAACAUGAAUUUGUUAAGUUAAAAUACUUUUUUUUAAUCAAGUCAAUGUAAUUGUGCCUCUAGUUAUCUUUACAAAAUAAUAAUGUUUUGGACAAGCUCGAAAAAAUUAUGUCAAGCCAAUUAGGGUCGAGAUACUUCUUACAUCCAGAUGGUGGCAGUAAUGCAAUGCCAGGUGCAGUAAACCCCCGAAGAAGAAGAACUCUACACUGCGCAUGCGCAGAAGGAUCUGACCGGAGUUCAAAAAUUACUUUUUGGCGGCAGGCAAGUGGAAAGAGGUGAACAUUUAUCAUCAACCAUAUGUGUUUUUUUAGCACGACUUCCCACAACUUUGUAUAUUGUAGCUGUGACAACCUGUAUCUUCUCCCUCCUUCAUUGAGCUGGCACUGCUGAGCCUUCAUGUGAUUUGAAUGUGGCACUGUAAAGGUUGCAGUUCAAAGACUUUUACUAGGGGCCAGUUACUUAAACAUUAUAGGUUAAAACAUCCACAUUAUGGGCGCAGGCACCCAUAUCCUUGCCCAUAUAUCAGUUGUCCAUGUACAUUUAAAUCAUGGAAUGCACUUAGGUCACAUGUCUGCAGAGCUCAUAAUAGAGAGACAUCUCGACAAACAUUAUCAUUGGCCACAUUCAACUGUCAUGUUUGUGGGUUCUCUGAAGUUGCCUCUGAAAAGGAGUAUUUUGCACAUAUACAUUUGCAUCUCAAAGCCAAUGAAACAGUACCUUGUAUGUUCAACAGCUGUACUUUCACAACAAACAUUUACGGGACAUUUAAAUCGCAUAAAAAUAGAAAGCACCACGGCUACUCUUACAAUAACUUUAAACCUGGCAUAGUUGUAGUAAGAGACGGUUUUGAAAGUGCAAGUCUUUCAGGUGAAAAUGAAUACAAUGAAAUAUUGGAAGAAGCCGAGCUAGAGGAGCAGUCAAGUUUUCAGACAGACGUCUCAGAAAAUGUUGAGAACGUGAUAGAAAAAAAAUUUGCGGCAGUGUUGCUUAAGCUGGAAAACAUACUUCAUGUUCCCAGCAGUGCAGUCGAUGAACUUUUACAGGACUUGCACUUCCUGAUGAGUUCUGCAUCCCUGACUCCAUUAAAUGCCAUUGUUUCAGAUUUUUGUACUAAGCAUCAUCUUGGUCUGAAUGCGGCAGAAAUUGAGGAACUGGCCUCUGCUGUCUGCAUCUCUAACCCCUUGACAAAAGCAAUUGGAGAUCGAGGCCCAUUUUGCACUGCUUUUAAGCGGAAACAGUACUUCAAAAACAAGUUCCAAGUAGUUGAACCAGUUGAAUAUGUUUUGGAUGAAGAGCGCAACCAUACCUACCAGUAUGUACCCUUAUUGCAGUCACUGCAGCAGCUUCUAAGCAAAGACGGUAUAACAGAUGAUGUUGUAGAAAACUAUAGUGCUCACUCAAAUGAAACGUCACAACAAGAGUACAAGUCAUUUCAGGAUGGAGAGUUUUUCAAACAAAAUCAUUUCCUGUCUGCAGGGGAAAUGAGAAUAUGUGUGACCCUUUACAUUGAUGACUUUGAAGUGUGCAACCCCCUGGGUACUUCCAGAAAGAAGCACAAACUUUGCGCGAUAUACUGGAUUUUGAGCAACUUAUCCCCAGGCCAGCAUUCGUCUUUAUCAUCCAUCUACUUGGCAUUACUGUGUAAAAGUAGCUACAUCAAGGAAUAUGGAUAUGGAAAAGUGCUUGAACCUCUUUUGCGUGAUCUGGUUGUCUUGGAGGAGCAUGGGGUGUUUGUCCCACAAAUUGGAAAAAAUAUUAAAGGCACAGUACAAUGUGUGGCAGCAGACAAUCUGGGGGCCCAUGGCAUUGCAGGCUUUGUGGAGAGUUUUUCAGGAGAAUAUGUUUGUCGAUUUUGUAGAGGACGUUCUAGUGACUUUCAAACCAAGCCGGUUCUGUCUGGUGACUUUAGUCUUCGAUCCAAAGACAGACAUAAAGAAGAUGUUAAACAUGCAGUGGAGAGUGGAAAGCCAUGUGUUGGAGUGAAAAGGCCAUGUGUGUUGACACAAAAUCUUGCUCAUUUUGAUGUAACAACUGGAUACCCCCCUGACAUACUUCAUGAUCUAUUGGAGGGUGUUGUUCCAGUGGAACUUGCACAGUGUCUGGGCAUUUUAAUAUCCAAAAAAUACUUCUCUUUGGACUCUCUAAAUAAAGUGAUUCUCAGUUUUCCCUACAAGGGAGAAGAUAAGACAAACCGUCCCCAUAUUGUGCCACAAGCUUUUUUAAGGAAAAACACAAUAGGUGGCAACGCAGCGGAAAAUUGGACUCUCUUAAGAUUGCUGCCUUUCAUGGUUGGAGAUGUUAUACCUGAUGGUGAACCGGUGUGGGAGAUAAUUUUGGAUUUAAAAGAGAUAGUGGAACUUGCUGUUGCCCAGAUCCACACAGAAGAAUCCAUUGGAUAUCUUCAGUUCAAAAUUUCUGAUCAGACAGAAAUAUCAAGAAGUAUUUCCAAACCGAAAACUUUUACCAAAGCAUCACUACUUGGAGCACUACCCUCACAUGAUCCAAUGUUUCGGUCCUUUAGUUGGAGUCUGGACCAUGCGAUUUGAGGGAAAACACAGUUUUUUUAAGGAAGUUGCACGUCACACCAAGUGUUUCAAAAACAUUGCACUCACACUGUCAAGUAAACACCAGCUGAUGAUUGCCUAUCACAUACACUUAUUACGUCCACAGAAACCUGGAAUUCAAGUGUCAAGUAUAUCAAGAGUUCCUCUUGAUGUGCUGAGAGAUGAUCUAUUAUUGCCUAUCCAGCAGAUGUACCCAAACAUGGCUGAAGUACACAUGGCUAAAAGUGCAGAUUUUAAGGGGAUCAAUUAUAGAAAUGGAAUGAUAGUCAUCUGUAGAUUUACUGAUGGGCUACCUGAAUUCAGAGAGAUAAUAAGGAUAUGUGUAGUUCAGGAUACACUGAAUUUCAUUGUCAGGGCAUUCUCAGCUUGGUUUAGGGAGCACUACCGGGCCUUUGAACUGCAACAUGUCCAACUCGCAAAAUGUCCCUGAUAUCACAUGAAGAACUGGCAGAGAAGUACCCAUUACAUGACUACUUUAUUGGACCCCUUCGACUGGUUACGUUUAAAAGAUAUCCUUAUAUCAAAAGCGGAUGUUGAAUAUCAUGAGCACCUAAUACCUGUCAUCUUAUCCACUUGGACAAGCUGUAUAGUGACUACUUCUAACACUGUGACCGAAGCGUUUGGAUGAUGGCUGCACCAGUAAAACUGCGUAUUAUUCUUGGUGACAACAAUGCGGAAAAACUGACCAUAGAAUCGGGCAUGCCAGAGUCUGUGGAGGAUCUUUCAAAUGAGAUCAAACGUCAAUUUCUUAUCGACGGGGACAUUAGACUUCAGUACAUGGACAGUGACUUUGAUAAUAAUUUAGUUAACCUCAACCAAAUCAGCGAUAUUCAAGACAGGGGCACAGUGAAAGUCAUCUGUAUGUCAGAUGCUACAGACCUCAACCAAGGCAACAUGAACCAGAGUGGGGAAGGCACCUCUUCGUCAUCUUCAACAAUAAUACUCUCCAGCCCUGAUUCGCAAACUGCUCGAUCACAGUGGCCAACAACAUUCCAAAUCCCAAAGUUUCCAUAUGAUGUGGAGAUUCAACUUGAAAGCACAAACCAGGCCUUCUUAUCAGAUGGAGUUUUUUUUAACCCGGGUCACAAACUCAAAUCGGACAUCUUAGAAAGUCUUGCUGAGCAAAUCAUUAAGUUCAAAGCAUAUCCUUCAAACUUAGAUAUAGAAGAUGUUGCUGAAGCUUUAAUCAAAGCACAUCCAUGUUUGAGAGAACAAGGAUCAUUUAGUGGUUUCUAUGGAUGGAAAAUAAGCCUUAAGUACAAGAUGGCAAACUAUAGGACAAAGCUUAGAAACUUGGGGUGCCCAGAACUUAGCAUUAAUUCCCUUAAGCACAAACCCACAGAUAGAUGCCAGCCUGCCUAUAAUGUCAAAAAACCCAGAAAGGCAGAGGUCAACUUUUGUCCUUCCUAUCCUGCUGGGGAGACCCAGGACAGCCUUGAUGGUGAAAGAUUGGCAUUGUUAUCUGAGGUCAAGAAGAGACAUAACGAAAAAGUAGUCAAAGAGAAGAUGGCCAAGACCUUUGCAUACAGGAGGCAGGAGGUCGUCAGAGACAAGCCAAUGAUGGCAGAGUUCAAGAUCAGAUGGCCAGGACUCUUCACUGUUGCAGAGGUGGAGGCAGAAUUUGUGAGGAUUACUACUGCUCCUCUUGUCUCGAAGUUCCUUGCCCAACUCGACCAACACACUGCUCAGCUCAUAAAAGUGUUCGGGAAGAAAGGAGGCUCUGCUGGGAUGAAAAUCUGAAAAAUGUUGGCCCCAAUCACACAGGAUGAAACUGUUGAAAAGAGGAGGGAGUGUACCCUCAGGGCGCUCUGUGUCUACCUGAACGAAGACCCGAACAUCCUCUUUAAAGAAUACCUGGAUACUGACGCUGUUGAGAGGGAGCUUCAACACAUUAUUCUCAGCAUCUACAGCAUCAAUGUUGAGGGAGGUGAUGCCACCACUUCUCCAGCCGAUGUUGGAAUAGUGAUCGAGGGUGUUGAAGUUCUGCAUGACUUGAGAGACAUUGCCUCUGCAUCUGCACUCUUGAUGGGAGUUAUAUAUGCACUGAACCUCAGUUAUCCUCAGGAACUGAAAGCCUUCUUUGAAGUGCUUCAGAAGGUCUUCCUUCAACUUGAUUCUUCCAGACUUUCAAGCAAGGUCCAGAUGCUCAAGCACAAACUCUAUGAAUAAGCCAACCAUUUAUAUCGAUGCUGAAUGUUCUGUGGAAUAGCCAGCAAAGCUAUAUUUUGCGCUGUAAAUAAAAUGAUAAGCUAAAAACUACAAUUCAGUUAAAAAAAAAACAGUGAUUUAGCAAAUUUUAUAGAAAAUGUUAUAGUCUAGUGGUACUAUUUAGUAAAGUUUCAGAGUCAAAUCUAAGUACAGUAUUGACAUUACUGAUAGCAGUUUGUCUCUCAGUUGUGCCGCUCUGCUCGGCAGAUUAAACCAUCUGCUGGACAAUUGUGCGAUGAUUCCAUUUAUAUCUUUCCCUAAACAUUUUUGUAUGGUGUUAAAUAUAACAAAGUUAUUGUAUAUGUAUUGGUUAACACAGAUAUAUCUGUGAUAGGCCAUUGUCGGCCGAUUAUAUUAUAUAUAUUCUGCAGCAUUAAUUAACAUGUUAUGUUAUUUUCUCCACAAUGCUAAAAUGAAUGCGCGUUAACGUUUUGUUAGAUGUUACAAAACAUAGGAAAGUGGAAUUGUUGUAUUGUUGGACCAUGUUUUAAAAAUUGUUGGAUGUUUUUUGCUGUUGGACCAUGUUGCAAUGUUUUAAUAAAAAGUUAAAAAAAUAA